rfam:Schistosoma mansoni strain Puerto Rico chromosome 1, complete genome
AGCCUUUUGAAUCCAUGCCUAGAUUUCAUCAGACACCAGCCUAUCAAGACUGAUGAGACUACUAAGAUAAGCGAGGCG